rnacentral:lncRNA from 1 species
ACAAUCUUUAGUCCACAUCCUCAAAGGCAGACGAUUGCAUAUCUCAACAGAACAGUGAUAACAUUUGCUCAAUUAACAAUCAUAAUCGCAUGCACACAUAACAAAGUUAUUUACAUCAGGAUUUGGGACACAAUAUCCAAUUCCAUGUUUAUACCAUUUUGCGCAAUCCAAAUGGCAGGAUUCAUUGAGGCAUUCGUAUCUGUUACUCAUCAAGAAAAUUAAACAUUUCUUCUGAGCAUCCACCUUUGGCACCAUCAUCUCAGCUUCAAAUAUGUGAAAAAAAUUACAAGUAUCAAUUAAAAACAAAAGACAAAUGUUCAAAGCAUAUAUUAAAAAAUGUAUUCGUAAAACAGAAUGCAUUUUAUUCGGAGCACUCUACUAAUUUUGCUGAAUGUUUUCUAAGCAUAGAAUUCUACUGAAUUUUGGUUGGGAACUCUUGGCAGUGAUUCAAGUUGCUGGCAUUUUUUUAUGUUUCAAAUGACAACCAUCUGAGAGCUAGCACACUUUUUGACUUUUGUGAUUGCCAAUAACAUCCCUUCAAGCAAAUUUUUUGAUGUACUGGUUAUAUAACGUUGUAUCUUUCAAGACAUUUUGUUGGUCCUCCAUUUGUAUCCAGAUACGGAAAGUUCUAGAAUAGUAUAAAAUUUCCCACUCAUAUUUAUUAGAUCUUAAACCAUAGAUUGGAGGCAUGGAUUUUAUUAUCUAACAAACAACCGAUUUGUCUUUGUAACCUGAAUUUCCCCUCAAUAUACCUAUUUGAAAUAUUGGUUUUGUCACACCCCUGCCUGCGUGGGGCUCGUGAGGCACCUAGUGCCCACAUGGAGGCCACAUGAGAGAGGAAUACGGGACUCCUCUGCCAGAUAUUAUCCGUUUCUGAGGCCCGCACGCGCGCCGCACGCACUGCUGAGACCCUUUUUCGGUUUUGUUUUCCACCCAAAAUGCGUUUGCAUUAUUUUGGAGACACCCGCCUCAUAUGCCCAGGCUCUGAAACGAGUUAUAUCCGAUGGUGGGAAGGGUGUGAGGUCCAAUAGUUCCACAUCGAAAAGACUCAUUUCAGAGUCUGGGCAUAUGAGACAGGUAUCUUCAAAUUCUGCAGCCGCAUUUUGGAUGGAAAAUAAAACUGGAAAGGGGUCUGAGCGGUGCGUGCAGCGCGCGUGCGGGCCCUAGAACCGGACAAUAUCUGGCAGGGAAGCUCCAUGUUCCCCCCUUCAUGUGGCCCCCACGUGGGCACUGGGUGCCGCACGUGCCCCGCGGAGGCAGGGGCGUGACAGGUUUACUGCUUGAAACAUAUAUAGGUUUAAUGAAAAAAUAUGGACAAGAUAUAUAAUUAUAAGAAGAGCAAAUAAAAAUUAUGGAUACUUGCACUUGGUCAACAAAUUAUCUUUAAUUACAGAGAAAAUGCUGAUAGCAAUAUAGAGUUUUAAUGGUUUUUGGAUUCCCACCUUCAUAACAUUGUAAACAUAUACAGAAGUAGAGCAGCAACUUAUUUCAUUAUAUAAUAGUCACAAGGGAUGUUAUUUAACUACAUCUAUGAAAUUUAUAAUUGAAAUAUGGUUAUCAUAUAUCUUAAUAAUAUUAUUUGAAUACAGAUGUAUCCAGGAUACUGUGAUUUCACUGUUGGAAACCGUAAUAUGUGUAUCGGAAGGCGAACAGGACGGUAGAUUGAGUUGCCUCCUUUGCUACCCAUCAUUUCGAAGAGGUCUCAUGAACAUGUGCUAAUACCCCCAUCUUUAUGUUUCUUAACUCAGUUGGUUGUACUCAUGCUAGAUUAACAUGAGUGACCGUUGUACCAAAAAAUAAAAAAUCCAUUCUUACAUUAUGAUGACCAUCACUGAUUGGGCUGCUAGUUAGUUUUGGUUGCAAUCGUGAACCAGAAAUGAAGGAAAAUGUAACUGCCACUUCGAAGAGAGGCCAUGGCUUCUCUAGACCAUGCAUACUUUUGAACAUGUUUGUAGGUUCAUAGGUUCAUUUUGGAGCAGACUAUCAACUCAUAUGCUAUGCCAUGGAAAGGUAAUAAUAUUCAAGCAUGAUGCUCACAUGGGAAGAUGGAGUUGUAUUUUUCAGUCAUCAUCUGUAAAGACUUGUGUACUGGAGGAAGAAAAUUAAAAAGGAAGUUCCAACUAGACCAAUAUUAUUUUUUCCUUUCUAUUCUUCUGCCUGAGUACUGCCCAGCAGAAGUUAGAUUAAUUAUUUUAACAUAAUAUCUAAUAUUAAAAUCGAAUUGUGGGGAAGAAUAGAACUUGUGAACUGAUUCCAAAACAAAUGUAAUGGAAAGCAAUCGAGUAAAGCUUUUGGAGAUCUCAUUUAUUUUUCCUCUUCAUAUCCAUUAGCCAUAGAUCAUGGCUAAUUGUUUCUCAAAAAAAUAUUGCUUAACUAGUUCUGUGAAAACAUCUUGUCAUUUGUCUAAAAUUGAAUUUGGUCGAUGGAAAUGGAUUAAAAGAGAUGGAAGGAGAUUAGAAAGUACCUGAUACAAAGACAAGGAGGACUAGAAGAACAUAGGAUAGCCUGGCCAUCUUCUUCUAUGACAGAUAGAAAUGCUAUGUUGUUCAAGCUUACCUCCGCUUUGGUGAUGAAAUAGAUUAUAAGACUUCAUAUUUAUAAUCACUUGAUGCAUGAUCUGUCAUAGAUUUUUUUGCCAUUUUUGGAUGAUACAUUUAGAGAAAGUGAUCUUUAAGAUUUUUUUUUUUGGGUAAACUUUUAACAUCCAUUGGUUGGAGGUAUAUAAUUUGGCAUGAGAAAAUAAAUGCCAUAUUCGAUUAUCAUAUUUAGUGCGAAAGUGCUAUCAGAUAUUGUAACAUAAAUGAUGGAUCCUCUAUAUAUUUUGAGAUAUUAUCAGAUUACCACAUAAUCUGACAUACACCAAACAAGCAAACCCUUAAGAUUUUUUUGUAUUCUCUAGGAUGUGAUAAUUUCUGGAUGGCAAAGUCAAAGAAGGAAGAAUCUUCAAGAUUUUACUUUCUAGUAAGUAAAUCAUCUAUAUUUUCGCUCUAGAUAUUCAGCAAUCCAAGGAUAUCCAGCAAGCACCUUCUUAUGUUGUCCGUUUCUUCUGGUCCUUACCUUGAUGUGCCGUUACACUUUAGAUUUAGCAUUUAUUGGCGGACAGCGUUAUCAUGAGAGGGAAAAACCAAAUAAAGCGAAUGCCUUGCACCAAAGCCAGCGAGAGAGCGAUUAAAAAAACCAAAUAAAGCGAAAGCGAAGCACCAAAGCGCUCUCGUCUUUUUCGCCACCUCCUCUUCCUCUUCCUCCUCCUCCUCUCUCUCUUUAUCUCUUUCCAAAUGGCCGCCGUGGGAGCCGGGGAGAAGCCAGGGAUACGGUUCCGCCGCGCCGCUGUGGCUGUUCCGGCGGAGGGGGCGAGGGUCUGAGCCUGUGAUGCCGGAGGGAGGCGGCGCUUCUUCUCUCCAGCUGCCGAGGUGCCGGAAAAGAGGUGUUUUGGGGUUUUCUGGUGGGGUAAAGGUUGGUUUUUGCUAGGGGUUUUUGGUAGGAGGAGAUGGCGAUGGUGGUGGCAGGGCAGGGAGUGGGGAAGGAGGCGGGGAAGAUGCAGCAAGGAAUGGAAGCGGGGAAGUAUGUGAGGUUCACGCCGGAGCAGGUGGAGGCGCUCGAGAGGGUCUACAGCGAGUGCCCCAAGCCCAGCUCCAUGAGGCAGCAGCAGCUCAUCCGGGAGUGCCCGAUUCUCGCUAACAUCGAGCCCAAGCAGAUCAAAGUCUGGUUCCAGAACCGCAGGUAAAAAAAUAAAAAAACGAGGCCAGAAAGCCAGGCCAGGUGUGGGAUUUGGUGAAGAAAAAAAAACGGUUUCUUUUUAGAUUUUUAGGUUUUUCCAUUUCUUUUGUUCUUCUUUUUCGUUUGAUUUUUAGUGGAAGAAGGGUAAGGGAUUAGAAAGCAUGGAUCUUUAAGAAAUUGACGAGGAUUUUGAUGCGUUUUCUUUUUUCCCUCUUCGAACUAAAUACCCCAACGGCCACGUUUGUUUUCAGUAGUUCUGUAUCUCCUCUUUGGAGAUCUCAUGAGUCGUCCUGAUCAAUUGCCGAGGAAGGCCCUGCACCCCACCGGACCAAGUCCGGUUGUCCUGCUCUUGCCUUAGGUCCUGCCGGUCCUCGGGUCCUCCGAGUGCCGGCAGGACCUCUUCACUGGCCUUGUGCGCUGACCGGCAGGACCUCUUCACUGGCCUUGUGCGCUCUGGUCACCCUUUUUCAGAUGCCCACCACCUGCUCGAUGAAAACGCCCAAUUAGCCACAGGAACCUCAAAGCCUCGCUACAGGUUGUCCUCGUUUUUAUAUUUUCAUUGGCAAUAAUCCGCCUCACCAAGGAACCCUUAUGUUUUUGAGGCUUUUCUUUCAUUCUCUUACCAAUAUUUUAAUUUGGACGUGAUAAAUUAUAUUGGCUUGAUUCAACUGCUGAACUAUUGGAUGCGUUGGCUGAAGCGUGACUGAUAAAUACGGGACUGCUGUGCUGAAGUCUUAGCAUUUCCUUUUAAUGACAAUUGGUAGCCACUCUUAAUUUAUCUUUUAGCUCUGAGUCUGAGAUAAGAAAUUAUCAAAUCAGAUUAGAAGAAGUCUUAUCUGAAGGUUAAGAAAGUAUUGGCUUUAGAAGCAGGGAUUGGAAGCAAGAAAUGAUCUUUUAUCUGCAAUCUAUGAAUUUCUCUAGCAAUGUACUAAUCUUUAUAUUAUGUCUCAACUAAUCUGGCGGGUCUCACGCUUAAAUCCAUUUCAAACCUGCUGUUGGGAGGCCAUAUAUAAUAUCGAUAUCUAGGGGUUUAUAUGCAAGUUUAUUCAAAAUUGAACUAGUCUUGGCAUGCUGCGUGCGGGUUUUAGCUUGCAUUCGUGAAGUAGACCCUGCAAGUCGCAUGCUGGCUGGCACUAGAUCAAAUUUGGCACAAAUGCAGGGAUUACCUUGCAUAUUUGAAAAGUAGAUCCUGCAGCCUGCGGGAGCUGCGGGACUAGAUCAAAUUUGGCAGAAAGAUCUUAUGUCUAAUAUAUAUCUUUGACAGGGGGUUAGGUGUGAUAAUUCUUUUCUCCAUAGAGUUGCGGGGACUAUAUAGGCUAUAGCUCAAAUUCGCAUGACGGGACUCCUUCUAAGACGUGCUAAUAUUACAUUCAAGUCCCUUCGUUUUUUGGCAAUCUCUUAAACCGCAAACAUAGAUCGACCUGCAAGAGAUGUCUUUAGAAAACUGGGCUCCGUAUGGUUUGGAUUACAUGAGUUUUUAUCCCCACUUUAUCUGGGAUAAAUAGCCAAGUGACCAAAAAGCUUUCAUCUUGGGGAAGUUAUAGCUGAGGCAUCAUCCCGAAUAAGUCACUAAAAUUGUAUUAAAAACUCGGCAAUUGCAGUGCAAGGAGGAGGGGCUACACAAUGAUUAGAUUGUAAGCACUCUGAAAGAAGGUUCAGUCUGAAUUUUAUUCAUAAACGCACAAUCUUUAGUCCACAUCCUCAAAGGUAGACGAUUGCAUAUCUCAACAGAACAGUGAUAACAUUUGCUCAAUUAACAAUUAUAACUGCAUGCACACAUAACAAAGUUAUUUGCAUCAGGAUUUGGGACACAAUAUCCAUUUCCAUGUUUAUACCAUUUUGCGCAAGCCCAAUGGCAGGAUACAUUGAGGCAUUCGUAUUUGUUACUCAUCAAGAAAAUUAAACAUUUCUUCUGAGCAUCCAC